CCUACGGGUGGCUGCAGUGGGGAAUUUUGGACAAUGGGGGCAACCCUGAUCCAGCCAUGCCGCGUGAGUGAAGAAGGCCUUCGGGUUGUAAAGCUCUUUCGGUGGGAACGAAACGGGUGCGGUGAAUAUCCGCGCUCACUGACGGUACUCACAGAAGAAGCACCGGCUAACUACGUGCCAGCAGCCGCGGUAAUACGUAGGGUGCGAGCGUUAAUCGGAAUUACUGGGCGUAAAGCGUGCGCAGGCGGUCUGCCAAGCUCGAUGUGAAAUCCCCG
rnacentral:rRNA from 1 species